AAAACACCAAACUCAGCUAUUAGCUGAUAGGAAAGAGAAAUCUGUACGUCUGGCAGGGGAUGCAAGGUGUUGCUCACCUGGACAUACAGCUAAGUAUGGAAGCUAUACAUUGAUCGAUGUGGACACACAUCAAGUUUUGGACAUCCAGUUGGUGCAGUCAAAUGAAGUGGCCAAUUCGAAUGCCAUGGAACUUGAAGGAUUGAAAGGG